CGCGACCCCAGGUCAGGCGGGACUACCCGCUGAGUUUAAGCAUAUAAAUAAGCGGAGGAGAAGAAACUUACAAGGAUUCCCCUAGUAACGGCGAGCGAA
rnacentral:rRNA from 1 species